GACGAACGCUGGCGGCGUGCUUAACACAUGCAAGUCGAACGGAAAGGCCUGCUUUCCCUUGUGGAUUGCGGGUACUCGAGUGGCGAACGGGUGAGUAACACGUGAGUGAUCUGCCCCCAACUUGGGUAUAAGCCUGGGAAACUGGGUCUAAUUCCCGAUAGGACUGCAGGGUGGUGCCUGUGGUGGAAAACGAUUUUCUAGUGGUUGGGGAUGAGCUCGCGGCCUAUCAGCUUGUUGGUGGGGUAAUGGCCUACCAAGGCGGCGACGGGUAGCCGGCCUGAGAGGGUGGACGGGCACAUUGGGAAUGAGAUACGGCCCAGACUCCUACGGGAGGCAGCAGUGGGGAAGAUUGGACAAUGGGCGGAAGCCUGAUGCAGCGACGCCGCGUGGGGGAUGACGGCCUUCGGGUUGUAAACUCCUUUCGACCGCGAGGAAGCCACCUGGUUGGAAGGGUGGUGACGGUAGUGGUAGAAGAAGCACCGGCUAACUACGUG
rnacentral:rRNA from 1 species